rnacentral:rRNA from 1 species
GGAAACCUUGUUACGACUUCACCUUCCUCUAGAUGAUGAGGUUUAAAUAACUUCCCGCGACCGAGUCGCCCGAGAGCGUCUUGAUCACAGUCCGAAAGUUUCACCGAAUCAUCCAAUCGGUAGGUGCGAC